rnacentral:rRNA from 1 species
AAGAGUGAACUAGCUAACUGAAAUCACAUGAUUUAUAAAUCGUGUUAAAUGUGAUAAGGUAAGGGAAAAAAUUGAUGUUACCUUACUAUUAGUGUGGUCCAAAACUGGGGCCAGAAGACUCGGUAAGACCAGAAACGCAAACGUUAUUCGUCCUAAUCAGGGGUAAAGGGUUUGUAGGCUGCUUUGACUAUUUCUAUUUAAAAUAGCUCUGAUUAUAUCAGUUAAAUAGAGAUACAAUAAAAGCUAGAAUCAAAUAGAGGAUAAACCGAAGAAUAUUUAGAGUAGGGAUGACAUCCAUAGAUAUUAAGGGGAAUGCUAAAGGUGAAAGCUUUUAUUCAUUAAUGAUUGACGAUGAGAAACUAAGGUGAGAAUAGGAAAUAGGAUUAGAUAUCCAGAUACCUCUCCCUGUCAACGAUGAAUGAGGGUUGGUUAGUUUUAAUACAAACUGAUAACGAUGUUAACGCGAUAACCAUUCCGCCUUGCGAGUACGGUUGCAAAACUGAAACCAAAAAAAUUAGUCGGUCUCGAAGCAAACGAAGUGGAGCAUGUUAUUUAAUU